rnacentral:lncRNA from 1 species
UUGCAGUAGGUGUUAACGGGGACUCGGGAUGUGACGCGAUAGGACCUUCCCUGCUCUGUGAUUUAAAUAUGACGUGUGCUUAGGAGGCGUAGACAAGGCAAGGUGUGUAUUUAAGGAGCGGCCACACUGUAAUAAAUGCCAUUUGCUAUAUCCUCAUAUAGGUGUCUGUGUAGCAAUGGCCCUAGCGAGGGUAGAUCGCUAGCCCCUGGCGGAAUGUGCCUCAGAAGCAGGAACAACAAAUGGUGCCCCGUGUGAGGAAGAAUAGGUCCGUCGCUCCCCAAUGUCCCAGGUGUUGCCUGAGAUCCGGUGAGGGAUCUGCUCCUGGCCAGGAGGAUGGAGUGGAGGAGAACAAGAUGGCAACUGUUUCCUGACCCACCCCUCGCCACUGUAUCCGGUCCGACCGACUCGACCCGGAUAUCCUUUUAUGGAGUUGAGGGCGCAUGCGACUGAUCAGGGGUCUCCACAACAGGGAGGACCUGUUUUGUUGGCUAUUUCAAGGGGUUGGCCGAUGGUGGUCAUUGACCUCAAGGUCUGCUUUUUCUCUAUCCCUCUCACAGAAGAGGACCGAGAAGCAUUUGCCUUCACGUUUCCGGUGACUAAUAAUGAAGGGCCUGCAGAGAGAUAUCAAUGGCGUGCCCUCCCUCAGGGAAUGAUGUGCUCCCCUACAGUGUGUCAACUAGUAGUGGGAAAUGUUCUGAAGGCGGUCUGAAAAGAUUUCCCUCAGUAUAUGGUUGUACAUUAUAUGGACAAUCUAUUGCUUGCUGCUCCCUCUUAUUUGGGGCUACAUAUGCUUGAGACUCGGGUAGUGGAAACCUUGACCACUGCCAGAUUUGUUAUCUCUGAACAAAAAUUGCAGAGGGGCCCGGGGGUUGAAUACCUCGGAUAUAAGUUUCGCCCAGAGAUGGUUCGGCCAACAGGGCUUGACAUUUGACCCCACAUUACCACCCUGUGGGAUGUGCAGAAGUUGGUGGGGGCAAUUCAGUGGGUCCGAGGGGCCUUGGGAAUUGCCUCCCGGCUUAUGAAACCCUUCUAUGAUCAACUGAAGGAGGUGGACCCGAGAGAACCUCGAGAGCUCACCCAUGAUAUGGCUGCUGCAUGGCAUGAAAUUCUGCAGUGUUGUAUGGUGCAGUCGCUAGCGCGGUGGGACCCCAAUCUAGAUCUUGAAGUAGCAGCGACUCGAUGCGAGGCCGGUACAACUGCCAUUUUGGGCCAUACCCUUGAUGCUAAGCCACGACCUCUGUGGUGGUUGUUUUCAGUGCAGCCUACGUGAGUCUACACUUCCUGGCUUGAGAUCUUAGCAAUGCUGCUCAGGAAGUCCCUAUUGCUAUUGUUGCAGGCCCUGGCAAGAGAACCUCAUGUUAUAUACCUGCAGAGCUCAUUUCGGGACAUGCAGCCGCUCCCUGAAGCCCUUCUUACGGUGUUGCGGGGCUUUGGGGGAAGCACUGUGUACUCUGAUUCGUUACCCAUUUUUGAUUUAGCUAAGCCCCUCAAUGUCUCCCUUCGAUCUCGUGUCCUAACCUCUCUGCUUGAUGGGCCCACCCUGUUCACGGAUGCAUCUUCAACCACCGGACAGGGGCAGGACUCAAGCAACAGUUGGGAGACCGCUGUUUUUACCGAUCAGACAGCUAGUGUGCAAAUGCUUGAGGUGAUGACUGUGGCGGUAGCAGUGCAUUUGUGGUGAGAGAUUCCAUGUAACAUCGUCACUAAUUCUGCUUUCGUGGCCAGACUGCUUGUCUACAUGGAUCAAGAAGGGCAUCUGAGCUCUGAGGCCGCUGGCCUCCUAGAAGAAGCUUUGGCUUCCUGCUCAGCUCCUGUGGCCAUCUUGCAUGUCUGCAGCCAUUCUGAUGUGCCAGGCUUCUUUACAGCAGGGAAUGCUGUAGUGGACAGAGCUGCCCAUACACUUGUUUUCAUGGUUCACGAAGCCCGUGACCUUCAUGCCACCCUUCACAUAGGCGCCCGUGCACUGGCUAGGACAUGUUCCAUUCCUUUGUCUGUUGCACGCGAUGUUGUUCAGGGAUGUCCCCACUGUAAUUCUGCACCUGUAAUAGAGGCUGGAGUUAACCCCCAUGGUCUCGGACCAUUACAAAUUUGACAAACAGAUUUCACUUGGGAACACCAUCUGUCCCCCCACCCUUGGCUUACCAUCACGGUGGAUACUUCCUCCAUUGUCAUCGUAGCCACGCAGCAUGCUAAGUCUAACUUGUCCGUGGCACAAUAUCAUUGGGUUGCUGCCAUUGCUGUGAUGGGCUUGCCUAAUCAGAUUAAGACUGAUAAUGGGUCCUGCUUCAUCUCGUAAAACAUCUUGAGAUGGGAAAAAUAGUAUGGGUACCAUUGCGGAAAGUUAAAUCAGAUGCCAGCAAGGAAAUAACCGGACUAUGAGCCUUCUUGUUCACAGGUUUGGCUCCUGGGGAGGCCUAAACCACAGACAGAGGAGACAAGAGAACAAAAAAAAAGGAGCCGUUCCUGAAAGCUCCUGCUAAGACUGCAGCACAUGCUAAGUAUACAACACUUUUGCUUAUAGUAUCGGCAAUAGGUACUGCUCAGGCCUGGGAAAGCAACGGGUAUGUCAACGUUACCCACGUAAUGGCCCAGCAUUUCAAUUUAUCAGACUGUUGGAUUUGUACUGCCUUACCACGGGGAGGGAACUCCCCUUGCUAGGAGUUCCAGUGCCAUUCAGAAACUGGAGCUUGCCAUGGGACGCGGUGCAAGUACAGUACAUGGGGCGUGGCGAAAGUUUGUAUUGGUUUGUGCGGGCUUCAUGUGGUCUGGCGGGGCACGCAUCCCUACUCCCUAGCGGGGAAACAUUAUGCUGGAGUUUUCAGGACCCCUUGACCUCUUGACCGCCCAAGGUCAUGAAACCAGACGUAGCUUGUUAUCUGAAUACUAGCUCUCCGAGGUUUGAGAUGCUAUCCCCAUGGCCGAACAAUACUGUUGUCCUGGCGCAGAAUGGCAGCUACAGUGUGGGUCAUUUUUCAGCAGUGAACGUUACUUGAUGCCCAAGCUCAGAGCACUGCCCUAGGCCGAUAGUGGUGGCCUUGAGCAAUCCUGGCGGUACCCCACUGGGAUGUCCUCCCAAAGGUCUAUGGUGGCUGUAUGGGGAUGGCCGAGCAAGGAAAAGUGUACCAUCUGAUUGGAGUGGCUCUUGCACCUUGGGAGCCCUCAUUCCAAAUGUUGUCUGGCAUAACUGAUCGGCACCUCCUCCUGGAAUCCUACGAACACACUGGAGGAGAGUGCAGAGGGUUCUGAACCCUGUAGUGGAGAAACCUACUGGUUUACACAGUUUUGCUAGAUGGUUCAUCCCAUCCUUGGGGGUGAGUGAGUUAGAGAAAACGUUUGUUAACAUUUCAGCCACCUUGGAAAUGAUAGAAAAUGCCACCGUUGAUGCAAUCAGGACAUUACAAGGAGAAGUCUCUACACUUAGCAAGGUGGUAUUACAGAAUAGGAUGGCAUUAGACCUCUUAAUGGCAAAAGAAGGAGGAGUCUGUGUGGUAAUAAACCACAGCUGCUGUGCCUAUGUCGAUAAGACUCAGAGGGUAGAGACGGGCAUACAAGCAAUAUGGGAACGGACUAAAUUACUCCAUCAAGUGUCCAUGGACGAUACUUCAUGCGGAUUUCGGGACUUAUGGGAGAAGCUCAUGAGUUGGUUACCUGACUUCACAUGGCUGAAGCAACUCUUCAUCGUUUGUGUCAUCAUAAUGAUCAUACUUAUAUUAAUGUGAGUCACUAUGCGAUGUAUGUUGUGCCUAUGUAUAAAUUCUGGGAAGGGCUAUGGAAAAUGGAAAAAACUCAGGUUAGGGCAGCAACUAAGGUACUUAUAGUUGCCUUGCCUCUAAUUGUAUUAUAUGUAAUAUAAUCGCCAUAUGCUGUAGCAAGUAGACUAGCUUAAAAGACCCAACAUAGCUUGCCAUCCCCUCUGUGUCCUAGGCUGGCGAUCUCGGUGGGUGUUGAUUAAGAAAUUGCAGUCACGCUGUAACGGGGCAAGACUUUACUGAGCAUGGGGAGGGGGAAAUAUUGCAGUAGGCGUUAACGGGGACUCGAGAUGUGACACGAUAGGACCUCCCCUGCUCUGUGAUUUAAAUAUGACAUGUGCUUAGGGAGCGUAGACAAGGCAAGGUGUGUAUUUAAGGAGCUGCCACGCUGUAAUAAACGCCAUUUGCUAUAUCCUCAUAUAGGUGUCUGUGUAGUAAUGGCCCUAGCGAGGGUAGAUUGUUAGCUCCCGGCAGAACGUGCCUGUGAAGCGGGAGCAACAAACGUGCGUGUCGCUAAUGUGCAUAACAGAACUUGCCUUACCCAUGGGUUACCAGGAGGCUAAGAAAAGUAAUCUAACACCUAGGCCAACUUGCAGACUCCUUGGGUAAUUCAUGCCGGACGAGUCACCUCAGCAUGUGCCAGAUUUUCACAUAUAAUAUGAUUACAAGUAAUAAACAAAUCAGUGUUAGAAUUAAUAAAAUCACAACUGGGUGAAGCACAGAAUUAAAAGCUCCUCUUGCUGUUGGUGACCAUCCAAGAAGCAUUUCCCACCAGUGGUGUUCUCCAUCCUUCUUCACCCUUUCUAGGACAUGGUGUAUCUCUUUUGUAUCAUGGUGAACAGUAAUUAGAAUUUUUUUGUCUGUUAUCUCAGAUGCAUUCUAGCAGUUGGUACAGAUCAUCAUGUUGCAGUAAUUUCUUUAAUAAAUCAAGGUUCAUUCCACUUGAUGCAGGUAGCCAAUGUUGGAUUAAUGUGUAAUUGGAUCAUAACAAUUGAUAUGAUGUAACUGCAACUGAAUAAUUAGAGUCACAUCCCAUAAUGUUGGUAAAGUUACAAACACAAACAUUUGAAUGAUUCCUUGUAUCUAUAGUAAUAUUACCUAUGAGUAUAAAAUUACAAGAAGUUCUCAUACACACACAUCCUUUUCCACUAUAGACAAGCACUGUUUCAGGGGUUUCAUUGGGAUACACCUCAAAACAGCAAAUAUUUUGCUUAGUGUCAAGACAAAUGUCUUGAGCCUUGAUGGUAUUACUUUCACAAAUAAAUCCUUGUUGUUCCCAUACAGCAAAUGAACUAACAUUAACAGUUUGCCAUUUGUUUCCAUUUUGCUGGGCCCAUACUGUGUGUUCUAAUGGGUAGAGUAUAAACUAGUUGUGAUUCAGUCCCAGCACAAUGAUUGGGUAUACAAUAUAUACUGAAGCACUGUGUAUUAUUAGGACAAAAGCUAUAGCAUAGUUAUUAACAGGAUCAUAAGUGAAAUUAACUAGAUGCCCCUAAGAUUGAAAUUUUCUUUCAGAUUUGUCUGCAUUGUCCAAGAUCACCUUUUGAAUUUUAGUGUGUAAAGCAUUUCCUUUACCUUCUACAACUAAGAGCUAGGGAGACAUUAUUUUGAGUUAUGGCAAGUAUAUCUACAAUUAACUGGUGGUCUUUUAUAUUUGUUCUUUCCCAUUGAGAUAAUACAUUAGAUAAGAACCGCUGGUUGGUUCCCAGUGCUGAUGGGGAAGACUGGGUUUUGCAAUACACAUAGAUCACCUGUUACAUCCGAUACCCUACCUUUAUUCUAUUCUUUGUCCUACAUUUCCCUGGACUUGGGGAAGUCAGCCAGUACUAUCCUGGCCCCAUUCAUUUCCUGAAUACAUUUCAUUACUGCGCUUAACCACAGUUGAAAGGGUUAAGCCUCUUAGAAUUAGAAUUUGGUCCCAUAUGCCCAACGUAGGCCAAUGUAGGCAUGGGACCAUUACCAGUUAGUGAAUGUGAUAGGGUCAGCAUAAGCAAUUACAAAUAUUAAUCUGAAGAAGAUGCCUGUCCAAAACAGUGACACUGUUGAUGAUACCACAAUGGAUACCACAGGGAUCUCAGGAAAAGGAGCAGGGUGAGAAGGGAACUUGCGAGUCACAGCAUCAGGGUCAGCAUUCAUUAGCAUAUGGAAAACAAAAGAGAGAGAACUUCCUGGUUCCAGAGGAACAAAGGUUAUAGGAGGCAUAGCUGAAAAAGAAAAAAAACAAAACUUUCUAGUCCCAAAUGAACCAAGGUCAAAAGGUAGGUGAAAUCCAGAUGGAUAAUUUUGUACAUUUCCCCUGAUUGUCUUGAGCCUUCCAGAUUUUAUUUUCCAGAUUAACCCUCUUUGAGGGUUAAAGGGACAGAACCAAUGAGGGGCAAAUUAAUUAACACCCGGUUGUCCCGGGGAGUAUUUGUCCGAAUAAGCAGCCCUUUGAGUAAGGGACCACAGGGUGUAAUGGUUGCCAGUAGUGAAAAAUAUUCCAGGUCCUCACAUCCUCCAGACUUUCUCCUGGAUACAAGUCACUGCCUGGGCAACUAGCAUUAAUCUCCCUCUCAUUUACUAUCUGUUCUCUAAGGGCUUGGUUAAAGGAUGACUUUUGAAUGUUUUUCUUUCUCUAACUGUCCCCUAAGGUCUUCUACUUGGCCCUGCAGGUAUGUGACCAGUUCCUGCAAGGACUGAAUAAUUUGAAUUUCUGCCAUGUGCUACUGGUUGGGGAUCUCUACAUCAGCAGUAAGAGCAGCUCCUAGAACUGCACAAAUGGUUGAUUUUCCCUUUCCCUCCUCCAUACGAGUUGUUUGUGGAGGGAAUUUAUAUGAACUGUGACUCCUUCUAAGUUGGACCAGCUAUUCUGUUCCCACCCUAUCCCCACAGGGGAGGGUUUGGCACCAUUUUUUUAAAGAGGUUGAAAAGCGGAUAUCCACCUUUUUUUUUUUUUUUUUUUUUUUUUCCCCAAUGAUCAUGCCUCAAAAUGUGGAGCAAUCUCUUCAGGGGAAAGGAGGAACAUGUAAUAUCCACAACUCAACAAUUUCCUUCUUACACCCCCGAAGGAUCAACUUCCUACUUUUUUCUACCAAUAACGCAUUUGUUGCUACCACCUGGACACAUUGAGGCCAACCUCGAGAUAGAGGGUCUAAUAGCUUAGACAAUUAUGAGUAGAUUUUCUUUUGUUCCCCCCAUUCUUGUGUUAGAACUUCUAGAGUAGCUCCUUCAUUGACACUUAACAAAAAGGUGAGAAGUUUUUUUCAGGGCAGGCAGUUCUAACACUGGUGCUGUGAUUAAGUCCCAUUUUGAUACUUCUACUAAUUCUUUUUCCCCUUUUGUUCAUUUUAAUAUGUUGGGUUCUCCCUCUGAUAGUUUGAGAUACAAUCUCUUUGUCUUUUUGUGCAUAUGCUUCUAUUUGUAAUUGACAGAAUCCAAUUAAACCUAAAAACUUUUGCAACUCCCCCUUUGUUCUGGGCAGAGAAAGCUGCAAAAUUUCCUGAAUUCCUUCAGGAUUUAUUCUGCAUUUCCCUUCAGAAAUCACAUGCCCAAGGUAUCUGACUUCUUUUUCCACAUACUGCAGUUUAUUUUUAGAUACCCUUAGCCCACAUUCCUCCAAGAAGUUCAAGAGUUUACUUGUAGUCUUUUUUACUUUAGAGUCCUCUUUGCCACAAAUCAGCAAAUCAUCUACAUACUGUAACAACUUUACCCCCUCUUCAACCUGAAACUUUUUCAAAACUUUCUCCAGCACUUGUCUGCAUAGAUUAGGUGAUUCUGUGAACCCCCGGUGUAAAACAAUCCACAUAUAUUGCUGCUUUCAUCCCAUUUCUGGGUCCUCCCAUUCAAAGGCAAAAAGAUCUCGACUCUCUGAGUCCAAAGGGCAGGUCCAGAAAGCAUCUUUUAAGUUUAUUAUACUAAACCAUUUUUGUUUGUGUGGGAUCUGACUCAUUAGAGUAUAGGGGUCAGGAACUACAGGGUGCACUUGAGAACUAUUUCAUUAAUUUUUCUUAGACCUUGCACCAGUCAAUACGUGCCAUCUGCCUUCUGUACUGACAAAACUGGAGUGUUAAAGGGUGACAUACAGAGUUCCAGAAGACCAUCUCUAACCAAUGCCUAUAUUAUAGGUUUUAGACCCAUUAUCCCUUCUAAAGGUAUGGGAUAUUGUCACAGUUUCACAGCUUCACGUCCUCCUUGGACAGUUAUUUUUAAGGGAGUAACUGUGAGUCUACCCCAGUUUCUUUCCCCUGCCCACACCACUGGAUUUAUUUCUUUUUAUCAUCAGCUGUUAACAAAUUCAUUGAUACCUUUAUACCUGUUCCACACGUUUUCAACUGCAAUCCUAAUGUAACUGUUAAAUCUCUCCCCAAUAAAUUGGUCCCUGCUUCUGGCAAAUUUAACAAUUUCUCUGUGACUAUUUUAUCUUCCUAUUUUAAUUCAGCAUUCUCAAAAAUUGAAACUAUAAUUCCUGAUCCCUGUACCCCUGUUAUUCUUAAAAUGUUCCCAUUUAAAUUAAGUCCUGGUAUUUUAUAAGUUUCAGAUGACCAAGUAUUAAUCAAACUGUUUUGCUAAUCCAAUAGGGUCUUCCAUUAAACAUUUCAUUUUCUUUUAAAAUUUCUCACCCCACUAGUAAGUGGGGAGUUUACAUAUCCUAUAUCUCCUGGUAACAUCGGAACUUCCCUAAGAGGAUACAUGUAAGUGUUAGUGGGGUUAAUGGAGUUAGAUUUAGGAAAGGGGAAAUUUAUAAUAUUCCCUUUGCAUUGUUCCAAUUCACAGAUCUCUGUUCAGAUGGAUGAUGAUUUGAGCCAAUACCCUCCACUCUGUCAGCUGUCUGCAGUCUCCCUGCUGUAGUUACAGGACUUGACUCAAGGACAGGAUGGUAAGGGGGGGUCGCUGUUCCACAGAGGAAAGUGCAUGAGUUCUAAUCCUAGGGAAAGGUACAGGGGAGGUAAAUAGCUUAAAGGAUCCCAUCUUUGGUUUCCCUGUUGUCUCGCUCCAAUUUAUAGGAGGGAGAGGAGGUUCUUUGAAAUAUGUAUGCCCGGCGUGAGAUUAAGAAACAGCGGUUCAAAUGUUGGUCCGACCAGUUUAUUAUAAAUGUUAAUAAGGGAGAUGGGGAAAGGGGAGGACGGACGCUAUUAAGGAUUGGGGUGAUGGGGAAGGGAAGGCGAGCGAUAGAAAAGAUAGAAAGAGGCAAGAAUUGCGUAAAGCGGGGAUAGUCACCACCAGGAUCCGGCAGCAGUCCCGUUGCACGAUGUUCCGACGGUCCGAGGCCGAAGGGCAGGAGCAGCGAGGCCGGUCUUGGGCAACGAGAGGGUGCAGGUCGGGGAGGAAGCAGCAGGUCUCAGGUAGCAGGCCCAGGGAAGUCCGUCAGCAAACGGUCCGUAGAGGAGGAUCGGAAGGCAGGAAGCUCGUGUCGUGGUGAGAGAUCAGUCUCCACGUAGAGAUCCGUCUACACGUAGCCGUGAGGAUCAGAUGGCAGAGAGCCCCUCAAGUCUGUCGUAGUGAGUGAUAAGCCUCUGCCGUUGCCGUGGUUGUGGUGAAGGAUCAGCUUCCACCGUUGUGGUUAUUGGACCCUCUUUUAUUCUCCAUUUUCUGCUGCCUACGUGACAUUCCUGGGUGCUUGAGCAAGAGUCCUGUGCAUACCUCCUGAGAUGGCCAUUUUCCUUGAGAUAAGUCCACACAAAAAGACCGUUUCCCGGCCAUUAGCGGCAGCUUAUCUCUCUCUCGAUGCCCCUGGCCUUGUCCAUCUGUGCUCCUUAAAGGAUUUCACAAUCCCUAGCCAGGACCUGUCCAUCAGUGUCCUCAAGACAAAAGAUUUCUCUGCCUUUGCCCAGGACUUGCCUGGACUUGUUCCUCAGCAAACUUUGAGUCAAUGAUAUAAAAGAAUAGUCUCUUACACCUGUUCUUCCUUAUCUACAGAAUUUCAUCUAGCCAUGAUUAGCUGCUGUACUCCCUGAAUCCAAAAAGCAAGCAGCAUAUGCAGACUCCUCCAAGAAAAAGGAGUUCUAUUGUUUACGUGCAUGUUCUGUAUAUCUACAGUUCAGUAAUUGUCCUGUGUUUUAGAUCUUUUUCUCCACUGUCACUUUCUAUCUGUUACAGAUUACCUUUUCUUAACAUUUAGUUAUACAGUUUAUACCUACUAGCUAAUUUAUUCCUGCUCUUCUGCUGUCAGACAGUUUGCUAACCUAUGUUAUCCUUCACAUGGGAUGCUACUGAUGCUUGUAUAUGAAAUAACUGCAUCUGUGACAGUAAAUGGAAAAGCUAGGAUUGUAACUGAGGCUACCCAGUUAUUUAUGUUUCCUUCAGCCUAUGCUUUCUUUCUCUGCUCCACAGCUUGAGUUAGAUAUAUGUACUCAUGAUGUUCCAACUCUUAUAAAAAAUAAAUAAAUCUGCAUGUUAUGGGCUCAAAGACAUUAAAAUCCAAAGUGUUAAAGCUAAUAUGUGCCAGAUGUUACUCAUAAUUUCUUAACAGAGUUACAUUUCAUUUCCAUGAGCUGCACCAAAAUCUUUACUUCUGCCCCUUGUUUUGGAAAAAAGGAACUACUAGUCUCUCUAGCUCUUUUUUACAUUUUCUUCUGGAUAUUUAUGCAACUCCAUAAGAGAACUUCUUUACUUUUCUGUCAUAGUAAGACAUUUUUUAUGUUUCAGUUCCAGAGUCUUCCCUCUUUUAAGAAUCACUCUCCUUGCAUGAUUUGUCAUACCUUUGGAAAAAUACAUUAUACAUCUGGAAGCAAACCAUUUAAUUGUUUGUCACUGUUCUUCUCAUACGACUCCUGUCUAAGCCCAAAUAAACUAGUAUUCUUCUCCCAUGAUUAGAAAGCAAUAUUUUUGAUUCUCAGUGAUGAAGUUUUAUAUUAUUUUGUGAAUCACUAGGAUUUCUGCUGUUCAGUGAUGCUAGUUCUGCUGACUUACUCUUCUGUUUAACUUUCAAAAGAUACUUCCCUACGGAGUGAAGUUAACAACAGAAGUUUAACAUCCACUUAACCAGCACAGUCUAUUUUCAGUCAUCUUAGAUGUGUCUUUCUAAAAGCCCUUUUUUAUAAAAUGCUGUUCAUUGGCAGUGAUUUUAGGCUUUUCCAAGAAAUUCUGAAACAUUCUGCACUUUCUGAAUUUAUCUUUAGGAUCAUCCCAGAAAGAUACACCCUAGAAAACUUCAAGUUCACAAAUUUUCUGUACACAGAUUUCCUUUCUCACAUCUCACUUAGGUCAGUUCACUUAACAGCUACGUAGUUACUUUGGUGAUUUUAUGCUUUUGUUUUUAAUAGCAAAUCAGAAAUAAAAAUGCAGUAAAAUAUUAGUUACAUUCAUUCACUGUAUUUAGUUUUGCAUUGCUUUAUGUUGCAGUGAUUAUAAUUUAACUAGACAAGAACCAAAAGAAAUAUUUAAUAGAAAAUUAUGAAUAUAAUAUUAACAGUUAGUGAGGAAAUCUCCCUUAUUAAUUUUAUAAAUUUAAUCUCCACUAAAAUAUUACUUGGUUUAAUCUGAUUUUUUCUUGUCUCUUUUAAACUUUUCUUGGCUUAAUUUUUCAUGCUAUAAUAUAAUCAGUGCCCGAAGAUAAUAUUUAAUAGAAUAUUAGGUUGUCUUUCAAUGUGAUUGGGAAAUAGUGUAUUUUUACUUGUACUACGACCAUGGAUUUUACUCAUAGGGCUAAAGUGCAGAUUUAGGUCUUGUUGGUGUGAACUACAACCCUUAUUACAAAGUGCCACACAUAUUUCUCUGAGUCAUAAAACCUUUUAUGGUUUCUACGUGCCUUCUGGGUUCUCCAUAAGAGAUUUUUUUCCAUUAGGCUGUAUCAGAUAAUAAUUGUACUUCUUGCAUUGACUCAACUGUGCUGACAUAUCACUGAAGAGAGGUCAGAGAGUAUUAAUUCUUCACUCCACAAUUCCAAACUGCUUUUAGAACACAGUAUAUGGACUCCUAAUACUUCCUACCACUGCCAGUAUGUAUAGAGGCAGAUGAUCCAGGGGAUUCUGGCACUGAUGAACAGACACAUAGGUCAAGACUAAAUUAGCGUCUGGUUUCCAAGCAGCAGCGGUUGAUCCAGGCCAACAAGCUGUCUGACAGAGUCUCUUUAUUCAGUCAGUAGAAAAAAUAGUAGUAGCAGUACUGGGGCUGAGCAUAUUACCUAAUAAAAUGCUUUACUUGGUAUAGCUACUUCUCUUUAGUAAAGUAUAGAGGGAACCAGAGACUGGAAACCGUGCAAGCACUCUGAAUAAUUAAUUGCUUCCUUGAAUGUAGAUAUCAUAUUUGAUGUGACCAAAGUAAUUGCAAAGCUUUGUCUCCAUCAACAGCAGUACAACUUUGGUAGUUCAGAAAUUCCCAUCAAAUGUUUUUGGAGUGAUUCCAUCUCUCUUAUUUGGCAGAGAAAACAUGAAAUUCGAGCAAAACAAAAAGUUGAGGAAAAAAAAUGACACUGUAGAAUUUUUGUCUCUUGAUCCCCUUCAGACCUGGCGUUUUGCCUUUUCAUUCCUUGGUGCCCAGUGGGAAACAUGAAGGAGGCUGAUACAUCAGUUUUCACCAUCUGCAAACUGCGAAGGAGAAAAGACCAAUUUCAUUGUGCAAAAAAAUCUAAAGUGAUAGCGAAGGCAAAAAGUUCAAAAUGCCAUUACCUUCUGUCAGAAAUGGAUCUUUAAAAGCAGAUAAAAGCUGAUCAUGUCCCUAAUGUAAAAUAAACUAGGAGAUGACAGGAAAAGAUAUUUAUAGGGAAUAGAAGGAAAGUGCUUUGCUUUGGAAUCCAGCCAUAAGGGAAAGUGCAGCUAAGGAUAAUUCAUUUCAGAAUCUUCCCCAGGCUGUGUUAGUCCUACUGCAAUUCUGCAGAAUAAUAGAACCAAAAUGCUCUUUUCUGGAGUUGUAGGUUCAAUUUCAUUGCUUUUUUUUUUCUUUCUUUCUUUCCCCUUUUAUCAACCCAAGAUGGACAGAUGUUUUAAUAUCUGGAAGGAUCAGCUAAGCUUAGGCUUAUUUUAUAUAUAUAUAUAUAACAGACUAUAUAUAACAGAAUGGCCUAUUCCUCUUCAAGGAAUUAUGUCAACAAAAUCUUACAAAGCAAAUUGGUCAGAGUGGGAAUUGGUUGCCAGUAUGCCUGAUCCAAAGACAAAGAAGGAGCAUCUUACUGACACCAUUGUUACUGACACCACUGAUGUCAGCUGGUUGUGAAGCAGGCCCUAGGGGAUAGUGCUUACAUAUAUAUCUAAAAAAAAAACCAAAAAACCCCCCAAAACAGAAAAAAAGACAAAACAAAAAACAUAUUUGCAUUUGAACCUUGCUACAUUAUGUAUUCAUAGAGGAUAUUUCAAAUCUUAAUUCACUGUAUUUAUUCCAGCUUUCGGAGAUAUUUUAAAUGUAUAUGAGAACACAGUCUCCUAAAUACAUUAUAUUUAAUGUUUAACAUGUUAAGAAAUCAUGUUUAAAAGUGAUUUCCUAACAAACUAAUGCAUAUUGCCUAGUUGCUACACUUACAAAAAUCUUGUCAGUGCUUAAAAAGAAACUAAGACACAUUAAAUGUCUCUAUGCUAUUUCAGCAGAUCAGUCUUCCAAAAAUCAAUAGUUUAGUGCCAUCCUUUAAAAAGUCUUUGGAUGGGACAGACAACUGAUCAAUUUAGAAUAGUUUUAAAAUAUUAUGCAUGCUUGUGAAGACUAAACAAAUUAGUUGUUGAGGGAACCAUAUUGCUACAGCAUUUUGAAAAUCACUUGAUGCAUAAUUUGAGCUUUGAUUCAGUAAAGUAUGGAAACAUAAGCUUAAAGCUAAGUGUUUUCUGUCACACUUCUUUUGUCCUGUCUGUAACAUGCAGCCAGCAUGUAUGAUAAGAAAAAAGAUUCUGCAGUGUAAGACUUCAACUAUGACUUCUUAUUGUUUGAGAAGAUGGACCGGGGAAAUGGAAAUCUGCCAAGGUAACUAAGAUACUUAGCAGACAGUGAUAUGAUAAUAGCAGAUUUAAAGACCCAUCAAAAAAUUAAGAUCAAAUACACUAUUUAUUUUUCUGUAAUGUAAAACAGAUGGCAUCUGGACAGACAAGAAAUGUGAAUUUAUGUCACAGUCAGGAGAGCCAUCCACAUUAUUGCUGGCAUGGACAUGGUAAAGUCAAGUCAAUCUCUAAGUGAAGAACAAGAAGAAUAAAAGAUCCUCCCUCUGAGGAAUUUUUGCCAAGGCAAGGAGACUAUGCAUGGGCAGAAAUGGUCUAACAGCUUGAAAAAUACACUUGUAGAGAAAAAGUGUCAAUAAAAACGCAAGAGUAUAAUAUAUUUACAUAAGGUAACAAAAAAUGCCUGAAAACCACAACUCCAGAUGCAGGUUCAAUUCAUAGAAAAACAACAACAAAAACAGUAAAAAAAAAAUGGAAGAAGUAGUCCAACUACUUCAAUGCAUUCCAAAUGAAGUAGAGAUAGGAAAACUGACAAGUUAGAACCUGGAGUUUUAAAGAACAUGUAACUCAAUUCCAAUCCCCUAACCCCCCCCCCCCCCCUUUUUUUUCCCCCUAGGAAAGCAGAGUUCGUACGGUCGGUCACAUAUUUUGACUUAAAUAGAUUUUUGAUCCUGUUUUGUAUGAAAUUUUCUCAUAAUAAAAAUGUUGAUGCAGAGCAUUUUAAGAAGCUAGUCAGAAGGCUGACACCGAAGGUCUGGUGACUGAAAAAAAAUGCCUGUGGAAGCUUAUUAUAAGGAUUCUAUUUCAGUAGAAACAACAUAACUACAGAACAAAGUACAAGUGGCAGUCCAUAGAAUCGUAAAAUAAUUUUGGGUUGGAAAAGACCUCUAAGGUCACCAAGUCACCACUAACCUUGCACUUCCAAGUCUACUACUAAACCAGGUCCUUAACAACCACAACUACACAUCUUUUAAAUAACAGCAGGCAUGUUGACUCAAAUGCUUCCCUGGUCAGCCUGUUCAAAUGCUUCACAACUUAUUCAGUGAAGACAUUUUUUGAAAUAUCCAGUCUCCUUUGGCACAGCUUGAGACCAUUUUUUCUUGUCCUGUCACUUGUUGCUUGGGAGAAGAGACUGACCUGCACCUUUCGGCAACCUCCUUUCAGGCAGCUGUAGAAAGCAAUUAGGUCCCUGAGACUCCUGUUCUCUGGGCUAAAUAAAUCCAAUUUCCUCAGCUGCUCCACAUGAGACUUAUGUUCCAGACCCUUUGCCAGUUUUACCGUGUUUCUUCGGACACACUCCAACACCAUGAUAUCUUUCCUGCAGUGAAGGGCCCAAAACAACAUCAUAUUUGAGGUGUGACCUCACCUGAGCCAAGCACAACAAUCACUUCCCCAGUCCUCCAGGCUGUCCUAUUUCUGGAUCUUAGUAGAUUACAGUCAGUAAGCCAUCUGGGAUUAUACGACAAGGAAAUAAUAUCUCCUCUAUCUGUCACUGUUAAGGUCUCUGCAUUGAUAUCAAAUACAAUUAAAAACCAUAAUGGAGAUCUGGGGUCUCAAAAUUGUAAACUAUAAUGAAAUAUAAAAGGAUCUCUCAAAUACGUGAGUUUAGGGAAACAUAACAAGAUGCUAUAAAUAUAAAAUGCUACUGUGAGGAUAAAGCAAAUAAUAUGUUCAUCAUAUGGUUGGGGCAGGAAACAAUACUCUUAAACUGAAGCAAGAAAGAUGCAGGCCAGACGUUUAUUUUCUUUUAAGGAUCCUGGGGCACUAGAACAGUAAUUUUAAUAUAAGUUCAAGAAGACUUAAAGACUGAAACAUAUAUUGAUUUUAUGCUAGGUGCAGAUGUACUACGUAACCUUAUUCUUCCUUCAUUUCCAUGAUCUGAGUAGUUGGUAAGGUGACAUUUAACACUAGUAUAAAGAACUAGAUUAAACAACUUCCUUGGAAUAUAAGUGGAAUUGGAGUAUCUUCUUCAUGUAAUGGUCUUUUAAAAUGUCAGCAUUAACAUAUCACAUUGUAUAAUGGUAGGUGUAAGUGGUAGUGUAAGUAAGAAUGGAAAGAGGUUUUUUAUUUUUGCGAGCAGAAAGAGUUCAAAUGUCUCCUUGGAACAAAUGGAAUAUUGAGCCUGUUCUGUAGCUGACAUCUUUCAGGAUAGGAACAAGAGAUAAAUCUGAUCUGUACCAACAUUAUUAACAUUAGCCUAUAUACAGCCAGCCUAGAUAGUCCUAAUAAUUGAGUGGAAUCUGGCAUAAUAGUAACUCAAUAUCUCAAAGCAACAUAGUAUAAAAAUUUCUGCUGCAAGUAUGAGAGAAGUAUAUGCCUGUGGCAUAUCAUUAUCCAAAAAACUAUCUUUCAGUAAAGCAGUGUUUCAUUUUUUAGUUUAACUCCAUCAUAAUUAUUUUUAGAGAUGACAGGAAAAUUUCAGCACUCUCUGUGUAUCUUUCACUAAAAAGAAUCUAAUGUGCCAGAGAACACAUCUUUGCAAAAUGGCCACAGAAAUGCUUCAUGAAUGUUGUUACUGAGCAUGACAAUAUUUAUGAUAAAACAAACUACUAAACCAGGAAAAAAAAUACAGUAUGAUAAAGAUAUAUAAAGUUUUAUAAAGUAUAAAGUUAUUAUAAAAUUUUGUCAAAUGGAGGUAAGUUUUUCAAGAAUGCUGAAAGACCCCAGCUAAAAUGAGGAGCGGCAUGAUAAACUUGUCUGCUAUGUUAACAAUUAGUUGUUUACAGAGCUAAGAAUAGAUACCUGGUACUAAACACAGCAGUUUAAAACACUGGAAAGAGGAAGAAUUAGUUUUACAUAAACAUAGUUGUACAUUCACAAACUUGAACUGUACACAUUUUAUUCUCAUGUUUCUUUCAGAUUUGUCUCAAAAGGGAAUAUUUUCACUAUUUAUAUGAUCUAGUGUCUACUAUACUUUGUGCAGUCACUAAAGUUAAGAUCUCAAGAAAUCUGAUCUAUUUUAAACGGGAUUGGAAAAAUCCUCCAUAAAUCUUUCAUCUCAGGGUUUGAAAACUCAUGAGACAGUAAAGAAAACUCAUGAGACAGUGAAUGAGACAUAAAGCAAGUUAAAUUAUCUUUACUGGCACUAUACAGUUGAUAUGUUACUGUUUUCUCCAUUUUUGUUUUCCAGUAAUUUUUAAUCUUGCAUAAAACUGUUUUAUAUAUUUAUGUAAGAUAAUCCUUUAAUCAUUAAUAUUAUUAACCUAACUUGAAAUUCGCAGUCCCAUGCAUGCAAUUUUGCUAACAAUACAAUUCUAGGCACUGAACAGACCUACCCAUCCAGUAUUUCCAGUUGAAAUUUACCUCUGCAAAAAAGUAAUCCGGCCGCCGGAGGGCAGUGUUGCUCUUCAUCAAUCUCAUUUUCAUCCUCCGUGUUUUGGAACGAAAAGGCAAGACUGCCAAAAUCAAGUUUAAGGGUGCGGUACUGAAAACGGCAUCCUUAUCGCUGCUCCUAGUAUUGCAUCUAGCACCUAAGCCUAAGAGCUCAGAAUUAGGGAAAAUGUACAGACAAAUUCCUACAGUCAGCUGUGUUUCUGAUGUACUUAAUUUACCAGUAGUUAGGCGGCUAUACAUCUUGGGGGAUGUUCCAAUCUAUUUUGACGACACUGAACCUAUGCAACUUUAAUAGAAACAGUAGAUUUCAGUUUGAGCUAUAUAAUUUGGAAGCACUGAAUAAUAAAGCAUAUUUCUGAAAAUGACAUCCUUGAUUUCCUCCUCAAGGGCUCUGGUAUUGCUGUUUUGUUUUUAGGGUACAGAUGUUAUGAAAUUUUAGAGCAAUGCAUUCCAGACAGCUUCAUGAAAUCCUUGAUUAUGAAGUCAUGCAUGUGCAGAGGUAUUGGCAAGACUCAUUUUUAUUCAAAUCCUUGGAAAUGAAGUAACAUACCAAAAGAGAUUCAAUCAAAUUAUUUCUGGGGAAAUCUUUCAGAUAAAAAAGAUGGUCAAAGCAGCAAAACUAGCCUUAUUCUUCUACUUCCUAUUAUUAUUAUUAUCAUCAUCAUCAUUAUUCAACGAAAUAGAGAUAUUUUUUGAAGCACUAACUCUCACCUUCAGUACUGCAUGUUAAGAUGAGACAAGUAUUUUGGUUGUUCUCUGUACUACCUGUGUAAAUAUUGCUAUUCUAUCAACUCCAAGUACAUGAAGGAGUAAUACAACAGAUUAUAAUGAUUCACAUUUUCUAACACCGAAUAAUACAGCUACAAAAAAUAUUUAUGCAAAAUUUGUUUAUAGAAUCCAAAAAAAAAAAAAAAAAAAAAAAAAAAGAUGGAUUUUCAUCUACUGCAUGGAGGUGAUUUCAUGCACAAUUAAACAUAGUCUUCUAUACACAUUUUUUUUAUCAAAGCUCAACAGAGGUAGAUGGGAAAUGAAUUUGAAUAUGUUAGAGGAGACUUUUACUUAGACCAUUUCCCCUGGGCAGAACAAAAUAAGAACUGGAAGAAGAGCUACGGCCCUGAGACUGAUAUAGCCACAUAAGUUUUAGGAAAUGAUAUUAAUCACAAGAACAAACAUAACUGGUUUGUGGUGGUAACUUCCUUCCUUCCUUCCUUCCUUCCUUCCUUCCUUCCUUCCUUCCUUCCUUCCUUCCUUCCUUCCUUCCUUCCUUCCUUCCUUCCUUCCUUCCUUCCUUCCUUCCUUCCUUCCUUCCUUCCUUCCUUCCUUCCUUCCUUCCUUCCUUCCUUCCUUCCUUCCUUCCUUCCUUCCUUCCUCCCUUCCUUCCUUCCUCCCUCCCUUCCUUCCUUCCUUCCUUCCUUCCUUCCUUCCUUCCUUCCUUCCUUCCUUCCUUCCUUCCUUCCUUCCUUCCUUCCUUCCUUCCUUCCUUCCUUCCUUCCUUCCCUCCUUCCUUCCUUCCCUCCUUCCUUCCUUCCCUCCUUCCUUCCUUCCCUCCUUCCUUCCCUCCCUCCUUCCUUCCCUCCUUCCUUCCUUCCCUCCUUCCUUCCUUCCUUCCUUCCUUCCUUCCUUCCUUCCUUCCUUCCUUCCUUCCUUCCCUCCUUCCUUCCUUCCUUCCUUCCUUCCUUCCUUCCUUCCUUCCUUCCUUCCUUCCUUCCUUCCUUCCUUCCCUCCUUCCUUCCUUCCCUCCUUCCUUCCCUCCCUCCUUCCUUCCCUCCUUCCUUCCUUCCUUCCUUCCUUCACUUCUCUUCACCUUUGAAUGAGAAAAAUUGAGAGCUAAAUAGCCAUAAGUGACCUACAAAUUAUUCCUGGUAUUGCAGAUGUUACUGAUAUCAUUAACAACAACAAGGGCUUUGAUUUUAAGCAAAAUAAAGGGAAAAAAAAGCCAUCAAUUUAUAAACAAUACCUCUGUGAUUCAUGGAUCUACUUUUGUCUUCCUAUUACUCCUCUAUUUCUUCAGACUUAUUUUUAUUUAGGGUUCAAUUUUUCUCACAGUGAAGGCAAGUGAAAUCUGCUGUCUUUAUCCUUUAUUGUGCAUGUCAUUUGUUAUACAUUGACUUUACCUCAAGCUCAUGGUAGCUUAUACCUGCUACAUUUCUCACAGAAGUUCCAAGCAGUCAUGAACAAAUUCUUGCAUCAGAUUUCUUACAGAAAGUUAUGGACAGAAUUUCCUGGGUCAGCUUUGAUAUCUGAGUUAUGGAAUACUACUGCAAUACCACAGCUAAAAUAGAUUUGUUUUUGAAAAGGCUGAAGCAGAUAUCUGGUGUUCUUUUAGUACUCUUCAAACAGACAUUUGGUGUUACUAGGUGAUGUAUAGUUUCCUCCUAGGUGAGCAAUAGAAGAUGUCAAUAGAAUAUCAUCCUUAUAUCUCAUUUGAAUCGAGAAUGCAUUACAAUAGCAACAAUCUAUGGCUGCUUUUGGAAGUUCUCAUUUCAUUUGCUUUCAUGUCAAUCCAUAGGCACUGAAAAUGCCUUUUUUUUUCCAUUGGGGCUUGACAAGUGUGGUUCUUUAACUGAUGAACAAACUGUUCAUUUAUCACUGCAGUGAAAACAGGAAUGUCAUUUCAGCUAUUUGGCCAGAAUAUGGUGAUGAUUGAGCUACGCUUUGAUAAAGCACAUGCCCUUAUAAUCUCCACUCUGAAGAUCAUGAACAGCAUAGAGUUCACACGAGGGGAUAAAAUUUACAAACAAUUACUUAUAUUUUUCAUACAAAAUGGAGUAUAUGAUACACCUGCUGAGACAAACAGUUGCUAACUAGAUGAAAAGCUAAAGGUUGCCAGAUGGGCAUUUGCACAUUCAUUACCAAUCUAGCACAGCCUACAGCAUUUCAUACUUUUUUCCCCAAGCUGCCCUAUGAAUUCUUUCUGAAAAUGUGAUGACGGUGGAAAUAGAAGAGCACUAAUGCUAAAGAGUCUGCUGGUUCCCCUUGGCUAGUGAUUCUUUAGGGGAAUCUUGGUAAACAGAGCACUCAAGCUAAUGCACAAGUAUUUAAAUAUCCUGAUGAUCUUCAGUGUCAGUUGCACCUAUGCUCAUAGAAAAUAGGUUUCAUAGAACUAACUUACUAUAUCAACUAUGAUGUCCAGACAGAUAGAUAAUAGUAAUAGCAAUGAAAUAAUAGACCAAUGAAAGUUAUAGUAUUAGUGUUACACAGAAUGAACAAAAAUUUAGGUUUAUACAGAAUAAGUCAUAUGCUAGAUGUGCACGAUUUAGAACCCUAAAUAAUGGAUUUCAAAGACAAUUUAAGCUAAAAUUCUUGACAAUGUUUCAUUCUUCCAGGAUCUUACCAUCCUUCCCUGCUUCUCCGUUAAUGUCAAAUUGGAUUAUGAAAAACACACAGUACUGUCCUUAAAAGUGCACCAAAGUUAUACUUACCUCAGGGAUACAAAAGAAAGAUUUUUUUUUUUCUUUCCCCCCCUCUUUUCCAGAACUCUGGGUGUUGUAAUGUCAUCAAUUCACUUUUUAAAAUUUCCUUUUAUUUAAAAUAAGAAAACUGGACCGUGAUACGGGACUAGGGGAUCAAAACUAGACUAAUAUAAACCUUACUUGACAUAUAUCUCAAACUUCAGUUAAUAGCAUAUCUAUGAUGCUACAGAUAGACAACGGGGUAUUACACCAGGCAUUAAGAAAUAAUAAGCAUAACAAAAAUGUGUGACAGUGAACAGAGCAAACAAGCAAAGUAGGUACAGUGGGAAUGAGCCAUGGUUUGACAUGACUGCUGAAAAGGAUUGAUUUUGUCUUCACAUUUCAGUCAGAUUUUCUAUGUGACAAGACCCUGAAUUUUGUAUGCAAUUUCAUUCCAUGUGUUUCCAUGAAGAAUAAAGGUCCUUUUUUUUUUUUUUUUUGUUAUUGAUGUUUUUUUUUUUUUUUUUUUUUUUUAAUUGUCUCUUUCUGGCUCAGCAUUCUUGCUCUCUGAGUUGCUAAGCCAUUACAUUACAUUAAGUCAUUUUCAACACAACUUGUCAAUUCUGUGAGCAUUCUCUUUCCAGAAUUCAAGUUAUGGUUACACUUUAUGACUACAUAGUUAUGACUGUCCUCUCAACUCCUCCUCCAGCUUUGACCUACCACACAGCCUGCGCUAAGGCCUGUGAUGGACACUAGGGGAAGAACUGUUUGAUCAAAGUCAGAGGAAUAGGUUGGCAAGACUCAAUGGACAGGAAGGAAUAUGUUACUGUGCAGCCACUGCCACUAGCAUCUUGCUGUCACCUUGCAGCUAUCAUCUCCUGCAUUCUUGCACUGUAAUUGUCCGGAAGUUUCUUCAGAAUACACUGAUACAGAAUAGAACAAACUUCCAGACAUAAAUACAUCGGUUUACCCCAAAAAAGCUUUUGAAGUAGAUCAGCUUGUGAGGCUUUCCUGCUUCCUGGUGCAAUAUAGGAAGAGAGGGAAGAAUGAGCACGCUUGACUUUUGCCUAGGCAACUGUUUUGGAUGCAGGCAUGCAAAUCACAAGUUAGGAAUUUGAGAAUUUGUGAGAGAAUUCAUGAAUUAAAGAAGUGAUUUAUUUGUGAAUUCAUGUUGAUGAG